UGAGCUGGCCGGGCGGCCGCGGGAAGGAAACUUCUCGAGGAAGGUCCGGGCUGCACAGGGCAAGGUGGUGGGUAACGCCCACCCGGGGCGACCCGCGGGACAGUGCCACAGAGAACAGACCGCCUCCUUCGGGAGGUAAGGGUGAAACGGUGGUGUAAGAGACCACCAGCGGACCGGGCGACCGGCCCGGCUAGGUAAACCCCACCUGCAGCAAGGUCAAGAAGGAUCCUUCGGGAUCCGCGCGAAUGUUCGAGGGCGGCCCGCCCGAGUUCGCGGGUAGACCGCACGAGGCGGCCGGCAACGGCCGUCCCAGAUGGAUGGUCGCCGAACGCGGUGCCGCAAGGUCCGCGGGAACAGAACCCGGCCUACAGGCCAGCUCAUCCG
rnacentral:RNase_P_RNA from 1 species